GUCUGGGCUGCUGUGAUGUCAUGGCAGCCUUGUGACUGGCAAAGUGACAGUUGGACCCUACCAAUACUGGUCAUUUCAGAGCGGUUGAGCUUCUUAUGAGAGACUCAGUGCUUUUCUUUGCUCGUGCGAUUUGAGAGAGAUUUCGGUGCGAUUUGGAUUUUCGGAGAGUUCGAGAGCGCUUUUUUGGGAUCCCCCAACAAAAGCAUUUUUUUCUGCAGGUAUUCCAGGUGGAGGAAAGUGCUUUUAAGCAUAUUCUCCACCCCAAACAUGGAGUCUGUCUCCAAGAAGAGAAGAAGACAACAAGAGACAACUACAGAAGAAGAGAUGAAGAGGAAGAAGAUGAAACUUCUGGACAGCCAGGAAAGAACAGAAGAAAGAAGAAGCCAGGAGAGACAGCCCAUUCAAGCUGAGCGUCUACCGGAACACAUUAUUACCAACUAUGAGUUCCACUCGAUUCUUGGCCGAGGCACAUUUGGCAAGGUGUUUUUGGCUUCCAUCCCCACGAAGAAAGAACGCGUGGCUGUAAAAGUCAUCAGGAAGACACCCAAGGACGAGGAGAAGAAAACGAUAGAGAAGGAGGCCAGAAUCCUGAAUGUUGCUUGCGGCAGUCCAUUCUUGUGCCGUGGCCUUGCAGCCUUCCAGACCAAACAAUAUGCCUUUCUGGUCAUGGAGUAUGCGGGCGGAGGCAGCCUCAGCAAUCUGCUGGGCAUCAAGCACCAUCUGAAAAAAAGACAUGUCAUCUUUUACUCUGCAGAACUAAUUUGUGGUGUUCAGCAUCUCCAUUCUCUAGGUAUCAUCCAUCGAGAUCUUAAGCCAGACAACAUCCUGCUUACCAGCGACGGACACAUGAAAAUCGCUGAUUUUGGCAUCGCAGCAGAAGGCGUUUUUGGCCACAAGACCAUCCGUGGGAAAACUGGAACAUGCUGGUACAUGGCCCCAGAGCUGCUAGGUAACAAGAAGUACAACGCGGCAGUAGACUGGUGGUCAUUAGGGAUAAUAGUGAGCGAAAUGGCCACAGGAAAAUCCCCUUUUCAUGACGACUACCACCAACAGGAUGUGAGAAGUUCCAUCCUCACUGAGAAGCCGGUGUUUCCUGAGGGGAUGAGCACAACAUUGCAAGAUCUCCUGCAGAAGCUCCUGAAGAAAAGACCACACAAACGUCUUGGGAUGAAUGGAAAUAUAAGGGAACACCAACUGUAUAGGAAAAUUAAUUGGGAGGACGUUGAAAGGCAAAGGAUUUCACCACCAAUUAGAUUUGAAGAUGAUCACAAUGAAUUUAUAAGUGCCGACCUACCAUUCCUGAAUGGCAACACCGCUUUGGAUUCAGAUGACUGCAUUCUUGAAUGCUUUACAUAUCUGAAUCCCAGCUGGCAGGAGUGAGCAAUUUUGUGCUGCUGCCAUUGACACCCUACGUCAACUUGUUUAGGUGGCCAUUCCUUUAACAUUUCUACCCGGUACCUGUAAGUCAUGCAUCAAAUGGACUAGCUGCUUAUAUAUCUGCCCAUACCACCUUUUUUAUUGUCCAGCUGUCCAUCACAAAUCUAACACCACCUACUUAAACCUGCCUUUAGCACUACCUAGUCACCCAAAUGAAUAUUGACAUCUGUUCCAACUGCCUGGGCCACUGUCAUCUGGCCCUUACUAACACCUAUUCCACUUGUGUCUACAAUCUCCUCCAACCUGUUCCAUCUAGCAAUAUCACUGCCUGUUUCAUCAGACUCUACCUGCUCCACUUGGCUCUACAAUCACUGGCCUUACCACCACAGAUAGCACAAGUACUACUUUUGCUGUUGCAAUUUAAAAAUUUGUAAAUUUGUCCCUACUUCUGGCGAGGGGCCAUGUCCUUGGUAAGCUUACGGGAUCGGGGCAAUUUUAAGUGGUUUGCAUAAGAAUCCAUCUAAAUGGGGUGGAUCAGGUUCUUCACACUUUUUCCCCAAACCUAACUGCAUAUGGGGAGGUAGGGAAAGGGAGUCAAGUACCUAAAACUCUUCACACUUAUGCAAACCUUUAUUGUAAAAUUACCCCUUAUACCGUUGAGCACAGGGCAGGGAAUGGGUGGGCCAAGGACAUGGCCUCUCAAGUAGAAUUGGGUUUGUAAAAAGUUUUCAAAUAUUAUCACAAACAGUACAACUAUAAGUAACCCAUUGUAGAGGAAUCAAAAGGUCCUCAAGCAUUGGUUUAUUUAUAUUUAUAGAUUAAUAAUUGAUCAAAGUUCUUAGGUGCGGGUGGGUAGAUGCCGGGGCAAAUGGAGCAAGCAGAGAUGUGGCAAGUGGCAGGUAGCAGGCCAGAUGUUGAAAGCCACCAUAAUGCAGCUGGAGCUGCUAUUGUUAUUGUAUUCCUGUGCCACACCAUUUGUUGUGCUACCACCACCAAUUCAUCUGGCCAUACCACCUCCUGCUUUAUCUGGAACGGGGUCUGUUUUUACCUGAAUCAUACCACCCACUCCAUCAAUCCGCACUAACACCUGCUUUAGGUUCCUGCUUCAUGUGGGUGUAUUAACACUUGCUCUAUUGUGCCUUAUUACAAAUGCUGUUAAUAUUUACAACUACCCAUUUUUACAGCUCUACCAACAUCUAUUACAGCUGCUUUAACACUGGCUACCUAAUACUUUUGGCCAAACCAAUGCCUAUUUUAUCUCUGUAAACCACUGCCUUAGCCAUAGACAAUACAUCUAAACAGACACUGAAAUAACAUCUAUUAAACAGUGAAUAAGGAGAUCUGCCUCUUGGCUACAAAAUUUCACUAUAAUACUGCCUGCUACUUUAGACUAUACCAUGACAUGUUCCAACAAACAUGACCACUGCCUGCACGGCCUUACUAACAACUACAAUUCCCUCCUACCUGUUCCAUCUAGCAAUAUCACUGCCUCUUUCAUCAGACUUUAUUUGGUCCGUCUCUGCUAUCACUGGCCUUACCACCACCAAAAGUAUUUAUAAAAAAAAGUAGUUCAAUAGGGGCAAUUUUAAGUGGUUUGCAUAAGAAUUCUAAGACACCAUCUAAAUGGGGUGGAUCAAAUGAUUAACCCCCUUUACCCUAACCUGACACAUAUGGGGAGAUAGAGAGAGAGAGUCAAUUUCCCGAAUCUUAUACUUCAGAAACAGGGCAACAUCUAUGCAAGCCUUUAUUGUCAAAUUACCCCUUAUACCAUUGGGCAUAGGGUAGGGAAUGGGUGGGCCAAGGACAUGGCCACUCGAUCAGAUUUGGGUUUGUGAAACCAUGUGCAAAGCUUUAAAACCUUAGCAUAAGCAAUGCAAAUAUAAAUAAGCCACUGUCCAGGGAUAUAAAGCUCAAUAGAGGUUUACUUAUAUUUGCAGGUUAAAUACUGAUCAAAGUUCUAAAGUGCAGGUGGUGUUGGUGAGACAUAGCUGGCAGAAAUAUGGUCAGAUGGAGCAAGCAGGGAUAUGUCAGGUGGAAAGUAGCAGGACAGGUGUUUCAAACUAUUAUACUAAAAACUAAAGUUAAAGCUAUACUAAAAGCUAAAGCUGGAAUUUUUAUGGCGAGCCAUUGCCACAGCAUAUGCUACCACCUUCACCUCGCCAGACCACCUCCUGCUUGGCAAGGGAUCUGUUUAACAUCUAUAACAUGGCCAUAGUCCUAUAUAUAUAUCAUACACCUAUAACGCUACAAAGUUCUUUCAUCUCAUUCAUAGCACAUCCAGUAAUUCUGUUAGUGGGACUGGGGUUUGGGAAAGAGGGGAGGGUGUAAAGGGGAAAUUCUAGAUAUUUUAGGGGAUGAUGCCAGCUGGGAUGUUCUUGGAGCUCACAAAGACAGAGUUGAAGUUGGUGAGUAUAACUCCGGGAAUUUAAAGGGGAGGUCCUAGAUGAUUUAGGGGAUAGCGCCAGCUGGAAUGUUCCGGGAGUUCACAGUAACUUGGAUGAAAUUGAAAUUGGUGAGUAUAACUUUUCAUGUUUGUACAUUUAUCUCUAUAUUAUUGUGUGUGUACUUUAAAAUUACAAUAUUGUUUAUAGGUGUUGCUGUCCACGAGGGAUCAGAAGAGCACAGUGGAGUUUGGAGCUUAAUCAGAACGUGAUGGAAUUGUCCAAGGACGCAUAUGUAAAUCCUGCAGAGGAAGAUGAGGACGAUUUUUUACUCUUCAUUUGCAGCCAGCUGAGAAAGAAUCAGAAGACACAGAGCAGCAGCCAGUGGGCAAUUUGGAAGACCCUUAGCAGCAGCAGCAAAUAGGAGAUACACAGCUGGCAGGGCCAUCAUGUCAAGAAAUUUUGUACAAAAUCUAGACAAUCACAUUGUCACAUUAAACUUAAUGGAGUAUGUGCCUAUUGUACAUACUAAUCUUUUUGACCCCCCCUCCCCUUCUUGCCUUCUGUAUCCCCCAUUUAAGUGUUUUAAAAUAAAGAAUAUUAAAAAAAACUUAA